ensembl:snoRNA small nucleolar RNA SNORA3/SNORA45 family
UUCAAGACUAGAGUCUCAUCCUGACAUCCCCAGUUGUCUUGGUGUGCUAGGGAUCUCGCAGACUGAAUGCCAGCCUUAUUCUCUGACCAGCUUUAACUCAGCUGGGUCAGACACUUGCUUGGCAACAGUU